UACGUAGGGGGCAAGCGUUGUCCGGAUUUAUUGGGCGUAAAGAGCUCGUAGGUGGUUCGGUAAGUCGGAUGUGAAAUCUCCAGGCUCAACCUGGAGGGGUCAUUCGAUACUGCCGUGACUAGAGGUCGGUAGGGGAGAGUGGAAUUCCCGGUGUAGCGGUGAAAUGCGCAGAUAUCGGGAAGAACACCCGUGGCGAAGGCGGCUCUCUGGGACGGUACUGACGCUGAGACGCGAAAGCGUGGGUAGCAAACAGG
rnacentral:rRNA from 1 species